CGGGUGAGUAACACGUGGAUAACCUACCUAUAAGACUGGGAUAACUUCGGGAAACCGGAGCUAAUACCGGAUAAUAUAUUGAGCCGCAUGGUUCAAUAGUGAAAGACGGUUUUGCUGUCACUUAUAGAUGGAUCCGCGCCGCAUUAGCUAGUUGGUAAGGUAACGGCUUACCAAGGCAACGAUGCGUAGCCGACCUGAGAGGGUGAUCGGCCACACUGGAACUGAGACACGGUCCAGACUCCUACGGGAGGCAGCAGCA
rnacentral:rRNA from 1 species